CCGCCACCGAGACAGAAACACAGCAGCAGCAUCUCCAAGCCUCCUCCCCAAAACCAACACCCCCCUGGACAGCCCUACCCCUCCCACAGCCAGCGACGACUACCCCAGUGCUCUCCUGUUCACCUCAGUCAACCCGUCCCCCUGUCCCCUACGUCCGCCCCUGGACCAGGACAGCCCAGACCACCUGCUCCCCCUCCUCACCGAGCGCUGCCUCCCCCUGGACAAGGACAUGCCCACAGCCACACCCAGGCUCCGCCCAGAGGGGCAUCGUUUCGCAGUGUGCCACAGCAACAUAACUCCUGCAGGAUGGUCUUGG
ensembl:lncRNA